UCCCGGCCCAGCUCCGGUGCCAUCGGAUGGGUGAUGGGAGGGGCAGAUGGGCCUAUGAGACCUUGAUCCCAUCCCAAAAUCUGCAACACCCACCAUGUCCUUGUGUCCCCACAGUAUAUGGGCUGCAACCUCCCAUGCCUCUCAGCCCUGCCCCAGAGGGAUCCCUCUCUAGAAUGAGAGGGGAGUUCAGUCUCAGUGGCCUAUUAAGCUCAGGCUGUUUGCUCCCUCUGCCUGCCCAUAAGGGUGGAGGCAAAUUAAGGCCAAUCGCAGUGGGGAUUUUUGGGAUCUAGAUGCUUGUCCUGCUAGAAACUGAACUAAGACCCUGUAACUCACUGCCCAUGAGGUCUAUCAGACGGGAAUGGCUUCUGGUCACUGCUGAUUUGGGCUGUUUUCAAACCGGUGCCCUUGGGAGCAAAAAUCUACUUUUCUUCUGAGAUGUUUUCCUCUUGACCCCAUAUGAUAGAUCCUCGACCUGCCCGUUGCCUAUGUCCUCCUCUACAGCCAUACCCCGCUUUCCACCUAACACGACACUACUCUGCUGGCCUUGCUCUUCCUCCUCUACCUCAUUCACUCUCUGCACAGAGAAGUUCUCCCCGAGUUGCAAACAGUGCAAACCCUUGUCUCAUUCCUGUUUUGGCCUGGGAAUCAGCUGGUCCCAGGUGAGGCUUCUGAACUCCCUUAUGAUAAAAGGGCCUCUGGGAGCAUCCCCAGACGCCCAAAACUGCAUUUCAAUUUGCAACUGUAGGGAGCCAGUUGCUGUGAGGGAGUCUACGGCUGGGGGAAGGGGAGCUGUGCAGCUGUGGAAGCAGCCUGCCUGCCAGCCUUGUAGCUUUCCUGUUAGUCACAAAAUUGUGUCUCUGUAGGAAAUGGACAUUAAAGGCCUGGACCUACUGCAUUUCUGUGCCCACCUGGAAUGGGCUCCGGAUGCAGCCCUGAGAGGAGAAAAAGAACUGGACUGGAUUUCUGAGCCCAUGGGGAAUGGGCUCAAGAGAGCUGGGGAACUCAUUUGUCAAACACAGGUCCCCAGAACAUCCAAAUUCCUCACCUGGCAGGGGCGGUGAGUUAUAUGGGCCCGUGGUGCCCGUGCUCCAGGAAUAUUCAGGACCCAGGGGCCCGGCUUCACCAAUAUGCGGGGCCGGGUCUCUCCCCUGGCCCUGCCUGCUGUCCCCACGCACCUCCCCUGGAGCAUCUCCUGACCCCGCCUGCUGCCCCCAGGCGAUUUAAAAGGAGCCCCGGCCGCCACUGCCACCACCGGCAAUAUAGUGGGGCUAUGGCGCCUUCCUGCCCACCCUCGCUCCGCACUGCUCCCGGAAGCAGCCGAUGCGUCCCUGUGGCCCGGGGGGGACGUGUAUGUCCGCACACUGCCCCCACCUUGAGCACCAACUCCACAGCUCCCAUUGGCUGGGGGCGGUGCCUGCGGACAGCGGCACAUAGAGACCCCCCAUGACAUCCCCCACCUAGGAGCCGCCCAAGGUGCCUGGGAGGAGGAAGAGGCCGGACAGAAGGAAAGAAAGAGCAAAGCACCAACAGACAGGGAGGGAAGGGAGGGAGAAAGCAAAGCAAGAAGAGGAUGAAGAAGGGAAGGCAGGAGGAGGUAGAGUUGAUGCUAUUAACAACAUACCAGCUGAACUCUAGUCCCCGCCGGUUCUGUACACUCGCUUGCUGCAGGUUGGGUUAGUCCUGGGCACAGGCACCAGAGUGGAACAGCAUCUGCCUGGAAUGUGCCCUCCCACCCCUCAUGCCUGCCGAGCCAUGGCAGGGGUCAAGUACGAGCUCAAUGAGAUUGCACGGCAGCCCUCUUGACUCACCCAGCUGGGGCUAUGGAAGCCUCUUCCAGGAAUCUCGCAUGGUUUCCCAGCCCGAAAAACAAGCCGAGAACGAUAACAACAACAAGCCCCAGGAGCCCAGAGAACUGCUCCCCUGCCCUCUCUUGCUGCAAAACGCCUCUCCUUCCCCUCCUUCUGCCUCUUGCUUGGGAGUAUCCCAGCGAGUCCUCAGCCGGCUGCCCUUGCUGGGUUCAGCUGCUGUGCUGUUGGCGUGUAUCUGACAGCAUGACAGUCCUGUGUGUGUGUGUAUGUGUGUGUGUAUCUCCCAGCCCCAGAGGCAGUGCCUGCAAAGGAUCGAGUGGUGAUAGCAAUGUGGAUUUACAGAGCCAGUCAGAGCGUGUGUGUGUGCAGCUCCCCACCUCUGCUGCUGGCUCAGUCCAUUUCUGAACAAGAGGAGAAUUAACCAGCAUCAUGACGAAGCAGUAUUUGUGAGAGGUGGCGGCUCUCCAUCUUGCUCUCUCUCCCUCCCUCUGUUAAUUUUUGUUGUUGCAAAAUAAAAUGAAAUAAACGCUC